AAAGUUUAGAAACUCAGAAAUGCAUAAAACAUCCAAAAUACACACUUUUAGGGAAAUACUCAAGGCCAGAAAUAGGAUGUUGAUUCCUGAGAUGAGUAAUCUGAACACUGCUGAGUAGAAAUGCACAAACAGCCCCAGCCUCUAAGAGACAUUUAACAGAAAGGAGCAGCAGAGAUCUCUCCCACAGAGCCACACAGCAUACAAAUUUGGCCAUUACUGCAAGCUUGAACAUCUCAUGCUGUACACUGCACUUCAGAGGCCACAUAAAAGAUCACAACAAAAGGAAACCUGCAGCUUGUUGCCUUGAUUAGAUGAAAUGCACUGGGUGGUAGAGACAGAGAUUUUUAUGUGAAUUUGUUCAAAUACAAAAAUAAUUUUUUUUUCUCUGAGUGCUGGCAGCAAAAUUCAAGGAUAAUGUUGGAGGAAAAAAGGAAGUCACUGAAACACCAUGCCACAACCUUGGCUUUACCCUCCUGCUAUAAAUACAUACUUAUCCAAAGAGCAGGGACAAGAUUAUAAGGUUUUUUCCUGGUACUGCACACUGAGUGGGAUUUGAUGGUUACUAUGCUGGGAGUUUGUAAGAUACUGUAAAAAAUUCCAGUUUAUCAAAAAUUUAGAAAUAAAAAGUUCUCGACAGAACAUUUUGGAAACCUAGUUUGAGGAAUACCACAUUAUUCCAAUGAAUGGGAAUCAUCUUUUCCAUUUCAUAAACAGAGCCAUUAGACACAUAAGGCGGGUCUGA